GUUGGAUUAAUGGAUGCCGCCAUCUUUCUUAGCAGCGGGGGAAUUGGCGCAACUCGUCACGGCAACAGACUUGAAUAAAGGACCAUCAGGCAAAUAGCAGGCUUG